GUGCUCUGUGACCGUCCUUGCGAGUGAAAGAACUGCAGUGUUUUGUGUUUUCUAACUCAGGAGUCUUGGCUGAAGAGAGAACGGCAGGGUGAUUUAAAGAAAUCCCCUGUCAUUUAAAUUGGUCCUUCGAGCCUAGCGAUGGAAACAACAGACACGUUUCUGUGACUCCAAUAAGGUCUGACUGCUGCAUCCUGACGUCGUGGGUAAACCAGCACCGAAGUCUGUCGACAGCCCUCUCCAGGUAGAGGUGAGAGUCCUGGAACGUUGAAUUCGGGUCCAGGCCGGUGAUUUAGUUCUGGUCCACGACAUUGGGAUCCAGAUGACCUGAACAACCAGCAAAAGACGACUGAGGUGUGUCAAUACAGGUGGAUUUCUCUCAACCUGGAACCUUGAGUACAGCGGCAAAAGCAUAGAUUAAUUGGGAAAACAAGCCACUUUUUGGCUAAAAUUUUACAGCUUGACCUCUCACUUUGUCCCGACCCUGAGAAGAAGCUCAAAGGACAGUUAAUCUCCUGAUGAAGACCGACAGAACAUCGUGGACUUGAAGAAUUAACAGCAGGCAAAAGACAGUGCAAAUGAAACAAGUCUGACUGACAACUGCAACAGCAGAAUGAAAGAAACCACGUGAUGAAAACAUGCACGAGGAAACUGCAGGCUGGUAAAGAACAGUGUCACAUGACUGUUCGAAGGCACUGAACAUGAUAUUUUGCCGGGCUGGAACUUAACUUAAAAGAAGAAUACUGAAAGAUCAAAACAGAGAAGAAACAGACUGUGUUUGUUGGAGCUUUGAAGGCCACACAAGGACACUGUGAAAAAGGGACGAGGACUGAUGGGAGGUGAAACAGGACAAGUUCGAGUGCAAGAAUACAGGAUAUGAUUGGAUUGAAAUUGAAGGCUGAACUCACGAUUGUUUAGAGAUGUCCACCACAUCACAAACAAAAGAAGGUGGUAACUGGCGUCUCACUACUGGCAACGGCUCUGCUCAUCACACUAUCCACCCAGGAAGAAGGAAGAAUUCAAACUCUGGACAACUGGACAAAAUGUACUCAACUCACUCUUCCUGUGGGCAGGAGUUGGGAAAACGUGCUCUCAGAAGUGAGAUACUGGACUAUAGAUUCGGCUUGUUUCUCAAAGCAUCCUGGAAGGUCAACGAGGGACAAAACCAAGAAAUAGACGCUCUCAGAGUUGCUGUGAUGCAACAUCGUGUAGCACUGCACAUGAUCCUGGCUGAGAAAGGAGGAUUGUGUGUCUUAUUCAACACCACAUGCUGCACUUACAUACCAGAUAAUGUACAUUCUUCAGACAUGACUUCAGAUUUUAAAGAGACCGUUGAUUGUCGUUGGACUUUUCCUGAUUUUAUUUUGUUUUCUUUAUUUGAGUUAUUCCUUGUUUAAAAGCUGUAAUUUCACAGAUGAUAAGUUUAUCAUUCACAGCAUACGCAGAUGUACUGAA